UGACCAACUAUUGAAUCUUGGAAAACUUAAUGCUUCCUAACAAAGCACAACCAGUGACAAAAUCAUCUCACUGGAAUAAGUCUAAUGUCUCACAUUAAGCAGUACAUUUAUUUCCUUUGUUAAGCCAUGUGAAUUUUAUGAAACUUCCAUGAUUUUUGAGAUGGUAAAUACAGGAAAAUCUGAUCGUGAUCUGAAGGGAACUAACGAAGAUCCAAAGGGAGGAACUAGUCUUGUUUUUUAAAGCUAUUUAAUCCACAAAGUGAAAUAGAAGAUUGAGGUGGAAGACUGAGCCAAUUGCCCAGACCAGCACAAUGAAUGGCACCUAGUCAUAACUUGGUAAGAAGCAAUGAGCAGACACACAGCUACGGUGCUUCCGAUAUGUGGCAACAGUGCAGUGAGUGUCACUUGACAGAUCCAUCUGGAGACGAGUCAGCUAAUAUGUACAAGUUGUCAUGGGAACGGAUGACGGUAACGUAAGAAGUGUGGGUGUGCAUCCCGUGGACUCCACCGUUCUUAUAAGAAAGGAGAAAUGCUUGAAUUAAACUACAAAAAGUAUUGAGUGUUCUUCAACAUUAUUUUAAACACUUCCCAACCUUAGGUGCAUGAUAUAGAACUGGAUAGUUCCUUCUGGCUUUGUGAUACAGGGAUAUAAGUAAUUAUAUUUAGAGAUGUUUUCGGGGGAGAGUGUGUAACAUGGAAGCUUUGGAAGCACAGCUAUACUUAGGCUGGGCCAUCUUAUUUUGAGUGCUAUCCUCUAUAGGCCUCAUUUUCCAUCUUGUAUUAUAAAUCUCAUUACAUGGUACAGAUUAAGUACUUAAAAAUCUUGAAUUUGUGCUUUAACAUCAUGGGCAAUAAGUCAGAGUUUUCAACCUUGAUAAAUUGAAUGUAUUAGUAUACAUGCAGAGCUAAAUCCCACCUAGAAGUCUGGCUAGCAGACAGGUGAAACUUCUAGAUGGAAACAAUUAAGACAUACAUGUCACAAUUAGUUGGAAAAGGGACCCUGAAUUUGAAAGAGAGCAAGGAGAGGUACAAGGAGAGUUUAGAAGGAGGAAAGGGUGAAAUGAUACAUUAUAAUCUUGAAAAUAAAAAAAUAACUUUAAAAUAAAUGCUACA
rnacentral:lncRNA from 1 species